rnacentral:rRNA from 1 species
AGGACGAACGCUGGCGGCGCGCUUAACACAUGCAAGUCGAGCGAGAACCAGGCCUUCGGGCCUGGGGAAAGCGGCGAACGGGUGAGUAACACGUGGGUAACCCACCCUUGGUACCGGGAUAGCCCGAGGAAACUCGGAUUAAUACCGGAUGGCCCAACAGCUUCUCGGAGCGGUUGGAAAAGGUAGCUUCGGCCUCCGACCAAGGACGGGCCCGCGGUGGAUUAGCUUGUUGGUGAGGUAACGGCUCACCAAGGCUUCGAUCCAUAGCUGGUCUGAGAGGACGAUCAGCCACACUGGGACUGAGACACGGCCCAGACUCCUACGGGAGGCAGCAGUGGGGAAUCUUGCGCAAUGGGCGAAAGCCUGACGCAGCGACGCCGCGUGGGGGAAGAAGGCUUUCGGGUGUAAACCCCUUUCAGGAAGGACGAAGCCACUCGGGUUAAUAGCCCAGAGGGUGACGGUACUUCCAGAAGAAGCCCCGGCUAACUACGUGCCAGCAGCCGCGGUAA